CCUACGGGUGGCUGCAGUGGGGAAUAUUGCACAAUGGGCGCAAGCCUGAUGCAGCCAUGCCGCGUGUGUGAAGAAGGCCUUCGGGUUGUAAAGCACUUUCAGCGGGGAGGAAGGCGUUCAGGUUAAUAACCUUGGCGAUUGACGUUACCCGCAGAAGAAGCACCGGCUAACUCCGUGCCAGCAGCCGCGGUAAUACGGAGGGUGCAAGCGUUAAUCGGAAUUACUGGGCGUAAAGCGCACGCAGGCGGUCUGUCACGUCGGAUGUGAAAUCCCCGGGCUCAACCUGGGAACUGCAUUCGAAACUGGCAGGCUAGAGUCUUGUAGAGGGGGGUAGAAUUCCAGGUGUAGCGGUGAAAUGCGUAGAGAUCUGGAGGAAUACCGGUGGCGAAGGCGGCCCCCUGGACAAAGACUGACGCUCAGGUGCGAAAGCGUGGGGAGCAAACAGGAUUAGAUACCCCGGUAGUC
rnacentral:rRNA from 1 species